rnacentral:lncRNA from 1 species
UUUCUUUUCUUCUUCUCUCUAUACGUUGGUGUUCUGACCAAUAAUCACCGAUGCGAUGUUCUGUCCAAUCGAUUCAGGAACCAACUAACGGAUGCCAAAGUGCUAUACUUUGAGAGUUCGUUAAACGGAUGCCAAAGUACUAUACUUUGAGAGUUCGUUAAAGGGAUGCCAAAGUACUAUACUUUGUGAUUUCGGUAAACGGAAUCCAAAGUGUUACACUUUGUGAAAUUCGUUAAGGUUCGAAUCUCGUGACUACCGUUAAGGUUUGAUUUGGGUUUUACACAAAUACGUAUUCCAUUCUGUUAAACUAUAUGUUUAACUACCAAAAAUACUCCCAACUACACACUCACAAUCAAACAAACUAUUAAAUCAUCAGAAGAUCCAGAAUAAUAAAGUGCAUGCUUAAUUAUCGGAAGAAGUAGAAUCAAGAAGCUUGUUAACUCAAUCUUGCAUGCUUAUAAAGCAAUUACAGUAGAUUGGAGUAAGGAUUGGAUCCAGCACUGAAGGACUUCAAGAAGUGGCUUAUUUUAUUAAUUAAAUCAAGUACACCCAUCGUGCGUGAGCGUAGUAUAGCGUUGGUAAGAUACCGAGGUCGUCCAAGGACACAAGAGCUUUUAAUACCAGUUUAUCAUCAACGUCUAAUCAAAUCAAAAUU